GGGAAAAUCGCAGGAGAUUCAGGAGCAGAGCAACUCUCUGCUUUACUGAAGGAUCCACACUGCAGAGCUGAAAAACUUCAACUCCGUGAGUGUAAUCUGACAGAGAAAGGAUGUUCAGCUCUGCUCACAGCUCUCAGAUCAGAAUCCUCCACCCUGAGGGAGCUGAAUCUGAGUCAGAACAGGAUUCAGGAUUCAGGAGUGAAGCUGCUCUCUGCAGAACUGAAGAAUCCACACUGUAAACUGGAGACUGUGAGACUUUCAGACUGCAGUAUAACAGAGGAAGGAUACACUGCUCUGGCUGAAGCUCUGAGACUAAACCCAUCAUCACACCUGAGAGAGCUGGAUCUCAGAGGGAACGACCCUGGAGCAUCAG